rfam:Cavia porcellus supercont2_49 genomic scaffold, whole genome shotgun sequence.
UUGCUCAUUCAACAACACAUAUACUAAAACUGGAACGAUACACAGAAGAUUAGCAUGGCCCCUGCACAAGAGUCAAAAGUAACCCUUUUGUCAAAUUAUUUGACUCAUUUUU